AUACGGAGGGUGCAAGCGUUAUUGGGAAUCACUGGGCGUAAAGGACGCGUAGGCGGGUUGGCAAGUCAGAUGGGAAAUCCUACAGCUUAACUGUAGAACUGCAUUUGAAACUGCUAACCUAGAGUAUGGGAGGGGGAGAUGGAAUUAGUGGUGUAGGGGUAAAAUCCGUAGAUAUCACUAGGAAUACCGAAAGCGAAGGCGAUCUCCUGGAACAUAACUGACGCUAAGGCGUGAAAGCGUGGGGAGCAAACAGGAUUAGAAACCCUAGUAGUCC
rnacentral:rRNA from 1 species